rnacentral:rRNA from 1 species
UACGAAGGGGGCUAGCGUUGUUCGGAAUUACUGGGCGUAAAGGGCGCGUAGGUGGCGGGCCAAGUCCAUGGUGAAAGCUCGAUGCUCAACAUCGAGUCGGCCACGGAUACUGGUUCGCUGGAGCACUGUAGAGGCAGAUGGAAUUCCGGGUGUAGCGGUGGAAUGCGUAGAGAUCCGGAAGAACACCGGUGGCGAAGGCGGUCUGCUGGGCGAGUUGCUGACACUGAGGCGCGACAGCGUGGGGAGCAAACAGGG